AGGUCUCUUCCUCUGAAAGGGAGAGGCAGAAAGAGGAAGUCACCUUGUGAUAAUCUGGUCAUUGGGAAAGGUACAAAGAUAAGUCAAGCUAUACUUCUUAUGUUAAAUACAUUGUCACAGAUGUUUGAUGUGUGGGUGCCAGAAAGUGUUACCCAAUGACUGUCCGUCGUACCAAAUACAGUCAAGCUUGUCCCAGGCCUACAAGGAUGCCAAAGGAAGGAGACUCUUCACAUGAAAAGGCUGAAGUGGCCUCACUGCCCUGGGCUUGUGUGGCCUCCUAUGUCAGCUCGAUUUGAGUCCCUGCGUUACCUCAUGGCUGCUUGGAUUUGAGAAUACUGUAGGUUCUGAAAUACUGAAGAAGAUACACAGAUGGUGAAUCAACACAUGAAAAGAAGUUCAGCAUCAUUAACCAUCAGGGAAAUUUAGGUUAAGUCCACACAAUGAGAUAUCACUACACACCUGUCAGCACAGAUAACAUGGACAAUGACACCAAAUUCUGCUGAGGAUGUGGGGAAAGUAGAUCACUCAUACAGUGCUGGUGAGAAUGUGAAAUGAUACAGACAAUUGGGUUUGGAAAAUGGUUUGACAAUUUCUUUAAAAAUGAAAUAUGAAACCACAACCCAGAAAUCUCAUUCCUGGGUAUUUAUUCCAGAGAAAUAAAGACUUGCAAUGAUUCAAAAACCCAUACCCAAAUGUUUAUAGAGGAUUUAUUUGUUAUAGCCCCAACCUGGCAACAACCUAGAAGUCCUUCAAAAGGUGAAUGGUUAAACAAUCUGAAGUUCAACCAUACCAUAGAAUACUACUAAGUGAGGCAAAUAGACAAGCUGUAAAUGUCUGCAACUAUCUGCAUGAAUCUCCAAUUAUGCUGAAUGAAUAAAAUCUACAAAUGUUAUACUCUAUA
rnacentral:lncRNA from 1 species